CCUUACUAUAAGUGUUGUCUAAAUUACUGGUGCCAGAAGACUCGGUAACACCAGAAACGCAAACGUUAGUCGUCUUAAACAGGCGUAAAGGGUAAGUAGGCUGCUUUAAAUUUUCUAUUUUAAAACCAAAUUUACUUUUUUACCUUUGUUUAUAUUUGUAUUUAUCUUUUGCUCUUGCCUGUUGGUUUAUACCAAAAGGUAUAAACAUGCAAAAGCAAGAGAUAAAAAUAUAAAUACAAAUGCUAGGAAGAGAAAGUAAAUAAGCUCUAAAUUUAAUAAAUAAAAAUAAAAUUUUCAACUCGCAAUCCUCAGGAUUUAUAGGAGAAAUUAAAUAAAUAAGACCUAAUUUAUUAAGGAACAGUAAAAAUAGAAUAAAUUAAAGCUAGAACUAUAAUGGAGAUAAACCAAAUAAUACUUAUGUGUAAGGAUGAUAUCUAAAGAUACUAAGUAGAAUA
rnacentral:rRNA from 1 species